rnacentral:rRNA from 1 species
AGCGAACGCUGGCGGCAGGCUUAACACAUGCAAGUCGAGCGGGCAUAGCAAUAUGUCAGCGGCAGACGGGUGAGUAACGCGUGGGAACGUACCUUUUGGUUCGGAACAACUGAGGGAAACUUCAGCUAAUACCGGAUAAGCUCUUACGGGGAAAGAUUUAUCGCCGAAAGAUCGGCCCGCGUCUGAUUAGCUAGUUGGUGAGGUAAUGGCUCACCAAGGCGACGAUCAGUAGCUGGUCUGAGAGGAUGAUCAGCCACAUUGGGACUGGGACACGGCCCAAACUCCUACGGGAGGCAGCAGUGGGGGAUAUUGGAAAACGGGCGCAAGCAUGAUGCAGCCAUGCCGCGUGAGUGAUGAAGGCCGUAGGGUUGUAAAGCUCAUUUGUGCGGGAAGAUAAUGACGGUACCGCAAGAAUAAGCCCCGGCUAACUUCGUG